GGCACAUUCGCCUCCUGAACAAAAUAAUGGCAGGAGUCGCCGUUGUCACGCCUGCAGGUCAGGUGCAUCUGAUGCCGCUGCACACCGAAAUGCUUAAUAUGGCUGUGAGUUCUUUCAUAAUGGAAAUGCUGAAGACGAUCGUCAUCCUAGGUGUUUUAGGAUGCACUGAGGAAAAUGUCAAGCUGCACGUUGAUGGCAAGCCACUGGACCGGCCCACUGCAUCACUGGCCGAUUGUGGAAUCAAAGUCGGCUCGACUGUGCAGGUGGUGAGGAAGGUUCACGGAGGGUGAAGGAGUCCAUCAUUAAUUCAUGUGACCACGUCAAAUGAACAGGAUGGACUGAAUUAUAAAUACGCGAAGAAGAGAAAACGCAUCAUUUUGAUUUAAGUCUGGCAUCUCCGACUUUCCUUCUCUCAUCAUUUCUUCAUUUUUACAUGGAGCUCGCUCACUUGCACGCAUAAAUGAAUAGUCCGGUUCUCAGCUCGGAAUAUAUAAUGAUUAAGUUUUUAUUUUAUUUUAUUUUAUUUUAUUUUAUUUUAUUUUAUUUUAUUUUAUUUUAUUUUAUUUACGUUGGUGGGGCUUCUGUUCCAGGGAUGACAAAUUAGGAUUAUCUCCUCUCACUGACAUCACACAGAUCCGCAGUCUGAAACAGAGCCUUUUUAGAUUUCUGAUCUUUUAGCUCACAUUAAUCACUUAAACAAUAAGUAUAGAGAAUAUCACCUUUAUAUCCAAUAUAAAUUUUAAACGUGUGUGUGUGUGUGUGUGUGUGUGUGUGUGUGUGUGUGUGUGUGUGUGUGUGUGUGUGUGUGUGUGUGUGUGUAACCUCAUAUUAUUAUAAUUAUGUAGCAGUACAAAGAGCAACAUCCACAAGAUAAAAGCUGAAAAAAGAAAUUUGUUUUCAAUUUCCUAUUUUACACAACAUUAUCCUUUUAUGAUGUACAUAAAUAGAAAAAGGAUUCCUGUAGCCUGUGUUCAGUAGUUUCUGGUUUUUAUGUCAAUGGCAACAUUUGAAAUAAUUUUCAAAUCAUGUUUAAUAAAUUAUUUCUAAACUGA